UACGUAGGGUGCAGGCGUUAAUCGGAAUUACUGGGCGUAAAGCGUGCGCAGGCGGUCUAUUAAGACAGGUGUGAAAUCCCCGGGCUUAACCUGGGAACUGCGCCUGUAACUGAUAGGCUUGAGUGUGGCAGAGGGGGGUGGAAUUCCACGUGUAGCAGCGAAAUGCGUAGAGAUGUGGAGGAACACCGAUGGCGAAGGCAGCCCCCUGGGCUAACACUGACGCUCAUGCACGAAAGCGUGGGGAGCAAACAGG
rnacentral:rRNA from 1 species